AUGUACAAGGUUUUAUAUUAAAUAUAGUGCUAUGAAUAUUAAUGUGUGUUUAUAUAGAUGAGCCGUUAAUUGUGGUUAUGUCCGAACAACACAAUGCACAGUAAUGAGCUGUGUCUGUAAAAUAGCCCAAACCUACCUUCAGUUUCAGGCGGCGUUGUGGGUUGCGCUAGAUGGAGCUUGACUGCCCUCGUGUGGCCAAACUCGGGAACGGCGAUUUUCUAGAAGCGGAUUUCUGGGCAAGAACUGUUGCAUGAUAUUAUUAUUAUUAAUCUCUCUCUUCCCUUUUGUCCCGUCCAUGAUAAUUAUUGUUGUUAUUUAACAAUUGUAGACAUGAGCUCAUGUUAAAAUGAAUAAAUAGGGAAUAAAAUGGUAAUAACCAUAUAUAUUCUCGAGCGAAAUAGACGAGGCCACCUAGGGAACACAUGAAGUUAUGUAGGAGCAGUGAUGAGAAUGAAAUGACUAAUAAUAUUAAGAAAGACAUUAAUAAUGUUAAUAUUAGCAAUUAAUUUGUGUAAUUUAUUAUGAUAACUAUACUGCUAUGUACAUGAUAUAAUGUUGAUAUGUUUUAAAUGUGUGUUGUGUUCUGUCCUUAUACCGUGUCUAGGUCAGUCUCCCUGGCGUGCGCGCACAGACAUAUAGUCAAAUCCGAGCAGCGAGCCAUAAGAUCUGUUAUGACGUCACGUUCAGAGUUCUGUAAGUUUCCUGAUGGUAUGCUUGACGGUUGUUCCCUUUAUGACGCCGCGAAUGUCGAGGUUUUUAAACGUUGUGGUAUCUGAGCUGGCCUCUGUAUUCAUUUGAACGGAGUAGUGUUUAAUCAUUGGUCUAUCUAACCUUUUCAUGUGCUUAGUUUCUUUGUUUGUUCAUCUGUCGUGUUUAAGAAUGGACGUUGAAAUAAUAUAUCCAGAUAUCUGUACAGCUGCUUUGUGACAAUGUAAACUUUAAAAAAAAAAAAAAACCAACAUUUCAAUGUCUAGAGAAGAGGGUGCGUUCUUUAAAAAAUAAAUCAUAAUGAUGAUGCUGUGAAACAGUUCAGAAGCUCCGUGUAUUGUCCUUGAUACGUGAAAACUAGACAAUGCACAGUAAUAACGCUGAUGAGCUGCGUCAGUGUAAAAUAGCCCAAACCUACCUUCUGUUUCAGGCGGCGUUGUGCUGGAUGGAGCUUGACUGCCCUCGUGUGUCCAAACUCAGGAACGGCAGUUUCCCUGAAGCGGUAUUCUGUUCCAAGUUUGUGGUAGUUAGCCAAGAAAUAUUACAUGAUUACCAUUACUCUCUCUCUCCCCUUUUUAAAACCUGUUCACGAUAAUUAUUGUAUACAUUACCUUUAUUUUUGUAAUCUUCUCCCAUAUUUGUGGAUAUUCUCGAGUGAAAUAGACGAGGCCAUGUAGGGAACACAUGAAGUUACCUAGGAGCAGAGUCUAAAAUAUCUUUUUGAGGGACCUCAAACUAUUAUCAUUUGCUAUACUAUUAAUCAUUACGUUAAGUACAUCUUAUUCGUAUAUGGAAAGUACUUAAUGAAGAUAAUAUACUUUAGAUUUUUUUAUGUAACCAUUUAAGUAUUUGUUGAAAUGCUUUUGUUACUGAUAAAUACAUGUACAUUUAAAUUGAUUUUGUUCUGUCUGUGAUUUUGUAGAUCUGGAUGUUCAGCUGGUCUCAGAUCAAGCAUCCUCCUCUGUAUUGACUCCACUAUCCCCAGCUUCAUCCCAUUCAUCAGAUUCCACAAUUGUCCUGGAGUCCAGAAGAAAGAGAAGGAACCCAACAGUUAAUGGAGCAGAAUGAAGCAAGACAGAAAGUUGAUUGUGUUCUGAGGGUCAAUCCAAAGGGUGAGGAAAUCUUCAAGGAGUAUGAAAAGACCAAAACACUAACAUGUCUGCAACCAGGACGUUCACCAUCUGUUUACGUGUGGCAUAUGUUAGAGCUACAUGGGAACACUACUAUGAUCCUUUAGGGUAAUACUGGCUUCAUUGCAUGGAGGAUCAAGACAGUUCAACAUAACACCUGUGCUGGCUCCCGGUGUCAUUCCAAGACUGUUCUUCAGGAUGGUCCAAAAAACAGACAAGAAUCUCUGUUAACUUGUCAACAGCGAUUUGGUGAGGAGUGCAGGGAGGCGAUAUCUACAAUACGAUAUUCCACUGAUGAGAAGAUGAGCGACUUUCCAGUAUUGACAGAAGAUGGUGGGUGAGGAUGCAUCAUCUUCUGUCCUGGAUUUGUUCACUUGUUUCCUUGCUGUAUCUGGAUUGAUCGACCACGAUUUCUCCAUGAUGUUUGGUGACGAAGUGUCUCAGAAGUUCCUGGCAAAGUGGUCAACAUUCUUCAAGCCAAAAAUCAUUGCAGACUGCAAGACUCUUAAGAAUAUGGGCGAGCUGCUGUCAGGAACUGAACCUGAAUCUGAGGACUACAAUGGAUGGGACAGCGAUAUGUCCUCAAUCCUUUUGCAGCUGCAUCUGCUCCCUCUAACCUCAAGAGGCCAGAAAAAAAAUAUCCAAGAUCAGUUCAGCUCAAGCAACCAGCCAUCUUGUGAGCUACCUUAAGGAAGGAGCCAGUGUGACUACCUUCAUUGAGAGUGCUGACACAAGACAACCAUUUCUCCUCUGCAUCGGUGAGCGAAAGAAGGAUAUCCAAAAGUUCUACAUUAUUAUCGACCAAAAGGCGAUCCCAUGUAAGGCGCACACAUCAGUGGCAGCUUUUGAUGAACUGUUCAAAGCUCACUAUGUCUUCAGUUUCUGAUAUGAUGAAGCUCUUUGUGAUUUCUACACAUUUAUCCAAACCACUAUAUAUAACAUCGAUGUCGGAAGAGCAAUGGAGAGCCUGCGUGUUAAAGAACUUUGAGCAUGAUUGCUGCAGCGAGAUUAACUGCCUUGAAGAUGUUCACAUGUUUUGUAUGUAAAGCACACCUCAGAACUUGUUUGGUUCUUCGUCAACAUUUAAAAUUUCAACAUGGUUUAUAUCCUAGCAAAAAGUUACAUUUAAAAUGUGGAGAGCCAGGUCGCCUGUUAUCAUUUUGUACUUAUAGUGGCUUCCGAAAACACCUCAGCAAGGUACAUAGUCACACUAUGGAUCAGGAGUUUGAUACUAAUCAGGAUCUUUCCACUCAGGGAGAAUAUGAGGCGGAAUGUUCAAAUGAUCGCCCAAGUUUACAAAGUUGGAGUUUACAAAGACAUUAAUGAUGGGUCGUGUUUCCAAAACCAUGCACUGUUCUCACAGCAAAAGCACGCUUUUGAUUCUAUUCUAUUACAACGAUUUUGAAACUGCUAACCCUCUAGGUUCCAAGAGGGGGAUCCACAAACUUGGUUGAAUCUAUUUUACUCUAAAAAAUCUUCCACGCAAGUGUAACUCUGUACUGAUUAAUGUACAUCUUGCAGCUUGAUUCUACACGGAAGAUCUUAAGACAUAUGGUUUUGAUGUGAUAAUAAAGCCCCUUAUUGAUGACCUGAAAAUCUUAGAAACCGAAGGCAUACAGCUUCCUUGUUUUGAACAACCAUUGUUUGGCUCAGUAAUUCAAGUAACAGGAAAUAAUUUGGCUUUAAAUGGCUUGCUGGGAAUCUUACAGUGCAACUAAUUUCUGUAGGCUUUGUUUAAUUAGUAAGGAAGAAGUUCAAUCUAUAUUUACUGGAGAUCAUCCUGGGUUAAUUUUUCGUUCCAAAGAGGUUCAUACUGAACAUUGUAAGGCACUAAAUGAAAAUCCUGAACUGCGGUCAAUAUAUGGUGUCAAAAAGUCAUGUGCGCUCAAUUCAUUAGAGUAUUUCCAUUGUACUGAUAACUAUGCUGUUGACAUCAUGCAUGAUCUGCUAGAGGGUGUGGUACAGUAUGAACUUAAACUGGUUUUUGAGUACCUUGUUAAACAGGGUGCACAGCUUUAAUUAUGGUUACACAGACCGUAAAAACAAACCAAGUGGGUUAAAAAUGGAUGAUAUGGGCAAACACCUGGGUUUGAAUGCCAUACAGUCAUGGUGUCUUCUGCACAACACUCCACUGAUAUUUGGUGGUCAUUGAAAGGAAUAACAAUCACUGGAACUUUCUCCUGCUUUUGAUACAGAUUGUCAAUAUAGUGUUCUCCUACACCAUAACUGAUGGGAUGAUAUGUUACUUAAAACAUCUGAUCUGUGAUCACCAUACUCUAUUCAAAGAAUUGAUUCCUGACAAGACGUCGAUUCCCAAGCACCACUUGAUGAUGCACUAUCUGAGAUGCAUAAAAAAAAAUGGCCCUCUUAUCCAUAUGUGGUGAAUGCGAUUUGAAGCUAAGCACCAUAUUUUCAAAAGAUGUGGCAAAAAUUUAAAGAAUCUCAUUAAAUCAUUAGUAAAGCAACAUCAACGUCAAUUGGCAUUUAACUGUGAAAAUGAUUGUUUUAGAAGGUUUUAAUUUGGUCCUACAUCAAAAACCAUCUGUAACUUGCAAGGUGGGGAAGAACUCAGUCAGACAUUAUAUUUAGAAGCCUGUUUGAGUGUUACAAGUACAAAGUGGGUCAGACAUUAUGGUACUGAGUAUCAGGUUGGUGUGUUCAUAUGCACUGGAUGUACUCAUUAAUAACGAAUAAUAAACAUUUCUAUAUGUUGAUAGAAAUAUAAAGCAUUUAUAUAUAUAUGUAUGUGUGUGUGUCCCCUUCUCUUAUCUAAAUAUUCAAACAGCCCAAGAAAUAAAAUUAGCUAUUUUCUGAGACGAUGAAGUGACUCUUAAAAGAGCCUUUGUGUAUAUUAGACGGAGUUGUCGUUUAAGUGCAUUCUCCGCAAAUACGGCAGGCCAGCUGAAUAUCCUUGAGAGAGAUGGAGAAAUGUGAAAAGCUAGCACUGUGGCUACGUGUUUCGCAACCAUGAGCUGUAUUUCAACGCUUUUUGGCCACAGCAUGCUGCCUCACAAACGUCCCAAUUCAUGCCCCCCUUUUCCACAGUCGUUGUGUAUAUCCAGGUAAGGAUAAAAGUUACAUUUCCAUCCAUCCAUCUUCUAUACCGCGUAAUCCUUCUCAGGGUCACGGGUAAAAGCUACAUUUUCCAAAGAAAUUUAACUCGCUGAG